CUCUAAAGACUAGUAUACCCAUUCCACGAUAGGUAAAAUUGAAAUUCAAUCGUAAGCUCGGCAUUACAAAACGCCUAACGCGAAUCUCUUUGUUCGCCACAAAAGAAUCUCACGAGUUCUACCAGAGAAAAGAGGAAAUGUUGAAUGGGACAUGGACGCAGGCAUUUGAAUAUCUACGUUUAACUAGGAUGACAAGGCCGUGCUCGUGUCGAUGACCGAUAACCUUACCGAUUUUCAAUCGAGAAUCGCGCGACAGGUGAAUACAAACGGGUUGCGCCUCUUCUGCGAAUAGUACACCGUAGAAAUAUGCAAUCGGAUAACGGAAGCAGGCGUACAGCAAGGUUGCUUUAAGUAUUCUACUUUAAUUACUACACUUCACACCACCGUGCACCAUAACGUGCGAUUGCUACUCUUGUUUAAUUGGGCUUGAUUCUACUGUGUUCUUCUUUAAUCUACGAUCCCCCGUGGCCGCGUGGAAUCGCGAACGCUAAAUUCACGGCUGCACAUCCGGUUCUCGUCGCGUUCUACGAGGAUUAUUUCCUCCUUGAAUUCCAGCAAAGAGUAGCAGUCGACUUCACAGAAUCAAUCUUCGAAAGACGCAAUAUUUUGUAAGUAUAAAGGAGCAACGCAAGCUUUCGUCGCGGAUAUUGAUUUCUAGAAACUGCAGUUGCAUUACGUUACGCGAUGUUGUACGGAAGCGAGCAACGUUACGUCGUAUUACAUUUAUUCAAUCAACUUCCUGCAAUUAAUUGAAAUGAACAAUUAAAACGGUUCGAUCCGACGCGUGUAAUGUUUUAAAAUAGUUGUUUACCAUCAUCGAAUAGGCAUUCACUCUGUAUCCUACGUUACGUAAGGUCAGUUACUAUCAAUCGAGGAAAGGGAGAGAUAGCCAAAAGCAAACGGAAAUGCUGGAAUUGAUCUGUAAACAGGAAACAUGGAAAAAGAUAUCUUUAUCGUUCGCGAUUUCUAUGACGAUCCAUGCCAUCAUCCAUUUACGGAGCACAAAACAACGAAGGUGUAGAGUGGCUUGAACGAGCUGGAUCGAAAGAACUUCCUGUUAACGAUGAAUCGUAAGGAAAAACACGCUGCAACAAACAUCCAUCGUAAUUCCACUAAUAAUAAAGCGUUGACGCGGUUCGUCGCUUAUGCCGAGCGCUGAUUAUGGCGCUAAGACUUCUCGGAAGAAAGGCGAUUGCAUUCGACUGGCGGCGAUGUAAAUAACACGCGGUGACGCACAAGAAAUUCCAUAGGAGUCGCUAUUUAUAGGAGAGUGAUAUUGCAGAUAUCCUGGACGCAGGUACGUUAGCGACCAGGUGGUAAUAGCGAAGGCCGAAAGGAAUUCCCUUUACCUUCGAUCAGACCGAUUAAAUAUGCACCGGUUGCUCGUCCUGAAUACCUCGGACGCCAACUGAACCGACUUCCAGGAAAAUAGAGAUUGUUUUCGAAAAUAUUCUCAAGGAAAUUUUCAAUUUCCUUUUUAUUUAUCGAAGAACACUUCUGAGUUCAAAUAUUUUUCAAAUUUAACGAUUCGACGAAUACUGAUACUAAAAUCGGCAGAGGUGAACCAGAACUGAAAUUUUAAUUAAUUAAGCCACUAAUUAACGAAUCAUGCUGGUCAUCGAUCGCCUCUAGGCAAUCGAUUCGUCAAUAAUCGAGGGAGACUAGAUUUUUCAAUAUCGCAAACAACAAAUAAUGUAUUUAAAAAAAAGCAAGACGAUUAUGAAACAUUUUCUAGAUAUCUCCUCGAGCGACUUACGCUCGUUCAUAAGCGACGACAACGUUUUGCAUGCAAUGGCGUGUUUACGCCGGGCAACAACAAUGUUACGGGCAAAUCCUAAUUACGUAACUGUGUCACGUAACUGUUUUGCCUUGCUCGACAACCAACGAACGAAUACUUUCGUGGAGACGUCAAACGCUUUCUUCCUUUCCGCGCUCGAAUACAACUCGUGGAAGGCGAACGAAGCGAAUUCGCGGCUCGUGGUUUACACUGCUUGUAGCUUGCAAAUGCACGGAACGAUCCAUCUUCCGUUUCGUUUAAUUAGGCUUGAUAAUCGAACGAGAUUACGAGAUGUCGUGAUAGUGGUAGGCUACGUUCUAAUGUCCCUAAUGUCCAUAGCGCUGUAUAAUUAUCCAUGCUUAUUAAACGGUUAUGUAAAAUACGAAUUUACCGCCGUGGCGGCGCCAAACGCGCGGCGACGUUAGGUAAGCUGUAAUCACUGAAAAACUUCGAUGAGAACGCAUCGUUUUUCCCGUGUAUACGCUUAUUACGACAAAUUGCGUUCGGGGAAACACGCGAACGAUAGGGGAAAUCGUCUGGACGGUGAUUUUCAACUUGUUCUCCGGCGACGUUUAUGCGGGAGAAGGAGAAGACAAAAAGUGGGGGGCAUCGUCAUUUUUCCUAAGGAAGUCUACCAUGCUCGGUACUGUACCUACAGUGGCUCGGAAAACUAUUCGGACACUCUUCAAAACAGAAUACCUUAUUUAAAA